rnacentral:rRNA from 1 species
UGGGGAAUAUUGCACAAUGGGCGCAAGCCUGAUGCAGCCAUGCCGCGUGUAUGAAGAAGGCCUUCGGGUUGUAAAGUACUUUCAGCGGGGAGGAAGGGAGUAAAGUUAAUACCUUUGCUCAUUGACGUUACCCGCAGAAGAAGCACCGGCUAACUCCGUGCCAGCAGCCGCGGUAAUACGGAGGGUGCAAGCGUUAAUCGGAAUUACUGGGCGUAAAGCGCACGCAGGCGGUUUGUUAAGUCAGAUGUGAAAUCCCCGGGCUCAACCUGGGAACUGCAUUCGAAACUGGCAGGCUAGAGUCUUGUAGAGGGGGGUAGAAUUCCAGGUGUAGCGGUGAAAUGCGUAGAGAUCUGGAGGAAUACCGGUGGCGAAGGCGGCCCCCUGGACGAAGACUGACGCUCAGGUGCGAAAGCGUGGGGAGCAAACAGG